UUAGAUACCCUAUUAUACUAACAGAAACCUGAAUUAUUAAUAGAUAUAAUCUUUAAAUUUGGAGAAUUUGGCGGUUAUUUAGUCUUGUCAGAGGAACCUGUUUAUGGAUCGAUAUACCACGUAAGAUUUUACUUAUUUUAAUUAGUUUAUAUACCGUCAUUGUCAGAUGAUUUUUAAAAAAUUAGGAAUCAUUAAAGUUUAUAAAAUAACAAGUCAAAUUAGAUCAAGGUGUAGCUUAUAAAUAAGUUUAAAUGGGUUACAAUAGAAUUUAUUUAUUACGGAGUAGAUAUAAGAGAAAAAUUACUAUGAAGGAGGAUUUGAUUGUAAUAAGAUUUUAAUAAGUAAAAAAGAUAUAAGCUCUAAAUUAUGUACAUAUCGCCCGUCGCU
rnacentral:rRNA from 1 species